CGCCGCAUCCGCCGGUGGAUCAACACGUGCCGCCGCCCUAUCCAACACUAGGUCCUGGAAUGCCACUGCAGUCACCACUACAUCCCCGAUCCUGUGAAAUCUCAAGGAUGAAACUCAAGACAGCAGAAAA